UACGUAGGGGGCAAGCGUUGUCCGGAUUUAUUGGGCGUAAAGAGCGUGUAGGCGGCCAGACAGGUCCGUUGUGAAAACUCGAGGCUCAACCUCGAGACGCCGAUGGAAACCGUCUGGCUAGAGUCCGGAAGAGGAGAGUGGAAUUCCUGGUGUAGCGGUGAAAUGCGCAGAUAUCAGGAGGAAUACCGAUGGCGAAGGGCAGGUCUCUGGGCUGACACGUGACGCUCAUGCACGAAAGCGUGGGGAGC
rnacentral:rRNA from 1 species